UGCAAUCUGCAUUGGCUAUAUACCACUAUGGUGCAGAUGGAACUUUUUCACUGGAUGCCAGUACAAGUUUAUUUUUUUAACCAUUAACCCCUCACCAGUUCAGACUCCGGGUUAUUGCUACCCCUAAUCUCAACUGAUGCUCCUCUAGCACAUUUAUAACAAAAAGCCCUUUGAAGAAGCGCCAUAUCUCAGCGCGAAACAUGUCAGGCCACAGCGAUUCCUUUGUCAUCGUUUAGACCUUCAGUCUAUGCAGUCUUCGGUCCUUCCUCAGGAACUUUUACAAUCUAUAAGUGGUUGGAGGUUCUUUGUUUGUCUUUAUCAACAGUAUAUCUCAAUAACCAGUUCAAAUUCUUUUUUAUGCAAUUAUGUCUAAUUACCAAUUCCUGAUGGUUCUCACUGAAUACUGUAAUGCUGUGUAAUUUUGUUUUUGUGCAAAUUCAAUCAUAUGGAGACUUUCUUAAAGUGUUUAAUAAUACCUUAUGUAAUAAAUAUAUUUUUUUAGCAAAAA